GAUGAACGCUGGCGGCGUGCCUAAUACAUGCAAGUCGAGCGAAUGGAUUAAGAGCUUGCUCUUAUGAAGUUAGCGGCGGACGGGUGAGUAACACGUGGGUAACCUGCCCAUAAGACUGGGAUAACUCCGGGAAACCGGGGCUAAUACCGGAUAACAUUUUGAACCGCAUGGUUCGAAAUUGAAAGGCAGCUUAAGCUGUCACUUAUGGAUGGACCCGCGUCGCAUUAGCUAGUUGGUGAGGUAACGGCUCACCAAGGCAACGAUGCGUAGCCGACCUGAGAGGGUGAUCGGCCACACUGGGACUGAGACACGGACCAGACUCCUACGGGAGGCAGCAGUAGGGAAUCUUCCGCAAUGGACGAAAGUCUGACGGAGCAACGCCGCGUGAGUGAUGAAGGCUUUCGGGUCGUAAAACUCUGUUGUUAGGGAAGAACAAGUGCUAGUUGAAUAAGCUGACACCUUGACGGUACCUAACCAGAAAGCCACGGCUAACUACGUGCCAGCCGCCGCCGUAA
rnacentral:rRNA from 1 species